rnacentral:rRNA from 1 species
AAUCAACGCUGGCGGCGUGCCUCAGACAUGCAAGUCGAACGAUUAAAGCUCUCUUCGGAGAGUGCAUAGAGUGGCGCACGGGUGAGUAACACGUAAGUAAUCUACCUUCGAGUGGGGAAUAACGUCCGGAAACGGGCGCUAAUACCGCAUAAUGCAGCGGCAUCGCAAGAUGACAGUUGGUAAAGGAGCAAUCCGCUUGAAGAGGAGCUUGCGGCAGAUUAGCUAGUUGGUAGGGUAAUGGCCUACCAAGGCUACGAUCUGUAACCGGUCUUAGAGGACGGUCGGUCACACUGACACUGAAUAACGGGUCAGACUCCUACGGGAGGCAGCAGUCGGGAAUUUUGGGCGAA